GAUUUUCAUUUUCUUACUGCACUUAAAACUUUAAUUUUGGUGGAAGAAAGGGUAUCAGAGGGAAGAUCCAUUUAUUACUGAGAUUUACAUGCUGUUUGGGCUGAGUUUCAGAGCUAUGCAAAAGUCUUAUGCUGUCUGUGCUGAGUCAUGUGUCCAUCCCUGCCUUCCUGACACUGAGAAGCUCGUGAGAUGUUUCUGGAGAUGAGUGCAGGAGCCAGUAUGUGCCCUACAGUGACCUGCCAUGCAGGACGAAGCAGCAACAUCCACCUUCCCAGAGCAGCUAUGGAGAGUAACAGCACAUUGAUCCCAUCAGUAAGGCAUGGGCUGCUUUGAA